rnacentral:rRNA from 1 species
ACUGCUCAGUAACACGUGGACAAUCUGCCCUGAAGUGGAGGAUAAUCCCGGGAAACUGGGGGUAAUACUCCAUAGUUCGUGAUGACUGGAAUGUUUUGCGAACGAAAGAUCCGUCGCUUCAGGAUGAGUCUGCGGCCGAUUAGGUAGUUGUUGGGGUAACGGCCCAACAAGCCUGUCAUCGGUACGGGUUGUGGGAGCAAGAGCCCGGAGAUGGAUUCUGAGACACGAAUCCAGGCCCUACGGGGCGCAGCAGGCGCGAAAACUUUACCAUGCGGGCAACCGUGAUAAGGAAACCCCGAGUGCCAGCACAGGCUGGCUGUCCGCCAGUGUAAAUAACUGGUGAAGAAAGGGCCGGGCAAGACCGGUGCCAGCCGCCGCGGUAAUACCGGCGGCUCGAGUGGUGGCCACUAUUACUGGGCUUAAAGGGUCCGUAGCUUGAUGUACAAGUCUCUUGAGAAAUCCGCCGGCUUAACCGGUGGGCGUUCAGGGGAAACUGUAUUUCUAGGGACCGGGAGAGGUGAGAGGUACUGCCGGGGUAGGAGUGAAAUCCUGUAAUCCCGGUGGGACCACCUAUGGCGAAGGCAUCUCACCAGAACGGGUCCGACAGUGAGGGACGAAAGCUGGGGGAGCAAACCGGAUUAGAUACCCGGGUAGUCCCAGCUGUAAACGAUGCGCGUUAGGUGUGUCAGUGACCACGUGUCACUGAGGUGCCGAAGGGAAACCGUGAAACGCGCCGCCUGGGGAGUACGGUCGCAAGGCUGAAACUUAAAGGAAUUGGCGGGGGAGCAC